UGCUCAGUGACUAUGGCAAAUUACAUUGGCAAUAUGCGCUACGCUGGCCUUGUUUUGAUGAAAAGUUGGACAUGAGAGCU
rfam:Triticum aestivum genome assembly, contig: Triticum_aestivum_CS42_TGACv1_scaffold_320636_4BL